rnacentral:rRNA from 1 species
ACUCCUACGGGAGGGCAGCAGUAGGAAUUUUGCCGCAAUGGACGAAAGUCUGACGGAGCAAUGCCGCGUGAGUGAUGAAGGUUUUACGAAUCGUAAAAGCUCUGUUGUAAGGGAAGAAUAGCAAGGAUAGGAAAUGCUCCUUGUCUGACGGUACCUUACCAGAAAGCCACGGCUAACUACGUGCCAGCAGCCGCGGUAAUACGUAGGUGGCAAGCGUUAUCCGGAAUUAUUGGGCGUAAAGCGCAUGUAGGCGGCUUUUUAAGU